GCAACACGGAAAUCCUUGUUUCUGCGAUGAUCCAGGAAGCGGAAUCGUCUGUCUGUGGAAGAGAAAUAUUGCCACCGGACCCCUUAAUGAAGUGAGAAGUCCUUCAAUAAGGAAAAUCUGGCUUCCAGCACCGCAGUUUUGGCCUUACCUCCAGCAUGCAGAUGUCCCAGGCCAGGGAUCAAACCUGCAGCACAGCACCACAGCAGUGACCUGGGCCACAGCAAUGACAAUGUUGGAUCCUUAACCUCUAGACCACCAGGAAACUCCAAGAAAUCCUUUUAUAAUCUUAUGGGGGUUCCCUGGAGAAGAUGAUGUGAAGACAGAGCUGAGAGAGAUUCAAAGAUGCUGGCAUUGAAGAUUGAAGUGAUGUGGCCACAAACGAAGGGGUGCUGGCAGCCCUUGGAAGCUGGAAGGGGCAAGGAGUGGAUUCUCUUCUGGAGCCUCCGGAGGGAGCCGAGCACUUCCUGCACCUUUAUUUUGGCUUGGUGAGAUGGAUUUCACACUUCUGGCCUCCAAAACUGUGAGAGUAUAAAUUUUUGGUUUUAAGCCAUGCGGCUUGUGAUCAUUUAUUAUGGCAGCUCUAAGAAACUAACAUGGAAGAUGUUCGGUC